GAAAAAAUGGGACAGGAAGGACGACAGGAAGAAGGAGAGGAAGAGAAGGAGAGAAAUUCAAUGACUGCGCACAUUAUAGCCAAGUUGUUGUCAUGCUGAAGCUAUGCCUUAUUUGAACAAUUCUGUUCAACUCAUUUAUUUGACCAAUUUAUCUAAACGUUUACAGCUGAGUCACAGGAACAGAGUGUUUUCCUGUCCGUUUCUCUAUUGUCAGAUAUGAUCUGAUUUCUAUGUUAUUCUAUUGUGUUUUUCAGGGAAGGAAUCUGAUUCACUACAGUUUGAUUCAUUGUGUUUCAGUAUAGCUAGGGCCUGAAUUCCUUAGGUCCGAGUGACUCUUGAGCUGCAACUGGUACUCAUGCUAGAAUUCCUAUCUGUACCAGAGGAGGCUGGUGGGAGAAACUAUAGGAGGACGGGCAGCAUUGUCUGCAUGUAUAGUAACGUUAGCAGCAAGAGGUGGCCAGGAUGAUGUGUAGCACACGGAUACAGAUAACUGUGAAAACUGCUAAACCCUGUCUGCAAAUUAAGUUCCCAAGGAAAGUCCCAAGUCCCGGAGAGACUGAAGAGUAUAUCUCCAAUGGGUUAUAUAUGCUACUGGUUUACUGUUAGAAUUGGUUGUAGGACCACAACAAUACUGCUAAAAGUAACAAUGCAUAGACCUAGAACAUGCAUGGCCAACCUUGCUCCUAGAGAUCUAGCUACUGGACGUGCAGGUUUCUGUUACAGUCCUGACGUUCUGAUGAUCAUUUGUAUUAGACACUAUUCAUUUCACUAUUCAAUCAUCUCUUGUCUUGAUGUAAGUUGGAUGUGUAAACCCACUAACCAUUUACAUAGGCAUUCUUUGUAUGAUAUUAAAUAAAAUGUUGAUUCAUUGAA